ensembl:lncRNA
GUAGGCUUAGUGUUUUAUUUAAGCAGUGUGUUUGUGUACCUAUAUAUCCUAUGUGUGAUGGUUAGAAUAUUAAUGCCAUAUACAAUAACUCACUUAUGAGAGCUAUCCAAAGACUGGUGGCUGCCUUAAUGUACUGUAUUUAGCAGUCAACCUCCCUUACUCUGUACGUUUAGAUGCUUUACAGGUAGCUGUAAGCCAUUAGAUGCAUGAUAAAUCUAUAAAAUAGAUUCUAUAUAUCUAUAAAUAACAGCUCACCUUUAUCUUUUUAACCAGAUUUGUAAACAGGUCGCGAUCAAUAUUUUGCAGUAGCUAUAAUAGGCUACCUUGGUUAAAUAUCGAAUUACGGUAGAUGCAUGCUAGCAUUGCGCUAAAUAAUUAAGACAGCUAACAUUAGUUAGUAGUGUUAACAAAGUCAGUUAUUGUAUAUGGCAUUAAUAUUAUUCUGAAACACCAUCACUAGUUGUUUUAACCAGAUUUGUAAGCAGGUUGAAAACAACAUUUUUGAAGUAAAGUCCCUUGGUUUAAAACAGCUAAAAGCUAGCUACAUUAAGUUGCUUGCUCAAAUCCAAACCAACGUCUUCUCUAAACUGGCAAGCUUGGAGCAGCCUCUGUUCAAUGAUUGGCUCAGGGGGUGGGAGGUGGGAUGCGCCCUUGAAGUCGACGGUGAGGGCUCAAAACACUAUUAAGCUGAAUUGCGCCAUGAAUGACAGCUUUUUUUUUAUUUAUUUUUUUAUCGCGGACUUUUUUUUUUUGCCUUAGGCGCUCGCGAUUUGUUGUAGGCGCUCGGGAAAACGGCUUAGGCGCGCGCCCAAAUUUUCUCUAUGCAGGAAAAACCCUGAAGAGGUGUCGACUACUAACCCAAGAGGUGUCGACUACUAACCCAAGAGGUGUCUUGGUGUCGACUACUAACCCAAGAGGUGUCGACUACUAACCCAAGAGGUGUCGACUACUAACCCAAGAGCGUCGACUACUAACCCAAGAGCGUCGACUACUAACCCAAGAGCUGCUGUCUUGGUGUCGACUACUAACCCAAGAGAUGUCGACUACUAACCCAAGAGGUGUCGACUACUAACCCAAGAGGUGUCGACUACUAACCCAAGAGCGUCUCGACUACUAACCCAAGAGGUGUCGACUACUAACCCAAGAGCUGCUGUCUUGGUGUCGACUACUAACCCAAGAGGUGUCGACUACUAACCCAAGAGCUGCUGUCUUGGUGUCGACUACUAACCCAAGAGGUGUCGACUACUAACCCAAGAGGUGUCGACUACUAACCCAAGAGGUGCUGUCUUGGUGUCGACUACUAACCCAAGAGAUGUCGACUACUAACCCAAGAGGUGUCGACUACUAACCCAAGAGGUGUCGACUACUAACCCAAGAGGUGUCGACUACUAACCCAAGAGCGUCGACUACUAACCCAAGAGCUGCUGUCUUGGUGUCGACUACUAACCCAAGAGGUGUCGACUACUAACCCAAGAGAUGUCGACUACUAACCCAAGCCCAAACGCUGUCUUGGUGUCGACUACUUCCAUAGCUGAAAAGAUCAGACAAUACCAAGAUGUUCCACCUCUACCACUGAUCACUGGCCCAUUUUGUCUUUUUAGAGGUAUUUGUCUUUAGCUAAACAGACAUUGUGAUCUAUACAACCCCAUACUCUGUGCUAGCAUUUACCUGCAAUGCACAUAAUUGCAACCAUCAACAUCGUUUUGUUCCAUUACUCUACUUAACCUCGAAAUAGCAACCUUACGAGCACACUUUAUACCCACUAAGCUGUUUCACACACACUGUAUACCCAAUAAGCUGUUCCACACACACUGUAUACCCAAUAAGCUGUUUUACACACACACACACACACACACUGUAUACCCAAUAGGGGUGGGGGAAAAAAUCGAUUUUUCGAUUUCUCUCGAUUCUCUUUAGAACGAUUCUGUCUCGAUUCAGAAAAGUUCAUAAUCGAUUUUUAAUUAAAAAAUUUUAAAAAAAAAAAAUUAAUAUAUUUUUUUUUUUUUUUUUUUACACAUUCAUUUUGUGUUGAAAUGCAAGCUGCAUCGAUUAUU